AAACUUUCAACAACGGAUCUCUUGGUUCUGGCAUCGAUGAAGAACGCAGCGAAAUGCGAUAAGUAAUGUGAAUUGCAAAAUUCAGUGAAUCAUCGAAUCUUUGAACGCACAUUGCGCCCCCUGGUAUUCCGGGGGGCAUGCCUGUUCGAGCGUCAUU
rnacentral:rRNA from 1 species